rnacentral:rRNA from 1 species
GCGGAAGGAUCAUUCAUGAAAUGCAAGGAUGCUCUUUUUAGAGGUCCGACCCAAUUCAUUCCUUCACACUGUGCACACACUACUUUUCACACCUUUUAAACACAAUAAGAAUAAGAAUGUCAUCGUCUCUUAAUUGAGCAUAAACUAUUAAAACUUUCGGCAACGGAUCUCUUGGCUCCCGCAUCGAUGAAGAACGCAGCGAAAUGCGAUACGUAAUGUGAAUUGCAGAAUUCAGUGAAUCAUCGAAUCUUUGAACGCACCUUGCACUCUUUGGUAUUCCGAAGAGUAUGUCUGUUUGAGUGUCGUGAAACUCUCAACCCCCCCUGUUUUGUAAUGAGACGGGCGCGGGCUUGGACCGUGGCUGCUGCCGGACUCUCAGAGACCGGCCCGGCUGAAAUACAUGAGCGACCACAUUGGAUACAGUGACGGUUUGACUCGGCGUAAUAAUACUAUCUCGCUGAGGACGUUGCAUAAUCUAAAUAGGCGCUUCUAAUGCGAUUACUUUAAGCUUUAGACCUCAAAUCAGAUAGGGCUACCCGCUGAACUUAAGCAUAUCAAU